UCAUCGACGGCGCUCCGGCGUUCACUGUCUCCAAGAUUUUGGAUGUUCGCCGCCGUGGCUUCCAGUACCUGGUGGAUUGGGAAGGGUACGGGCCUGAGGAACGCUCGUGGGUCUCCCGUUCCCUCAUCCUCGACCCUUCCCUCAUCGCCGAUUUCUACCGUGCCCACCCGGAUAGGCGUCCCGGACCACCUGGAGGUGGUCGUUGAGGGGGGGGUACUGUCAUAGUGGCCUGUCAGACUCCUCCCCCUCCCAGCUCUGCUCCUGACUCACAGCUGUUUCUUCUCAUCUCAUCAUCUCACCUGCCAUUUAAGGAGGACCUCCACAAGCAGUCUUUGCCAGUCUGCCUUUUUCCACGAGAGAAACCCGAGUCCGCAUUCCACCUCGAGCAGAAGCUGAAACCCUCCACGCUCCUCAAGAACUCCAGCCGCGCCACCGCCAAGAACUCCUGCCACGCCUCAGCCUUUUACUCCAGCCACGUCGCGGUCUAAGGCACUCCAUUCACGCCGCAGUCAAGAGCUCCAGUCACGCCACAGUAAAGUUUCCGCACUCACCGUUAGUCGAGGAAUCCUCGUCAAGCUCCACGCCCCGUCCUGUUCCUGGAUCCGCUGGCUCUUUCAAAAUAAAACCAAUUCCUUACCAUUCA